AUGUGUUUCUUUUUCAGGUUCAACAAACUUUGUGUGACUUACAAUUUACUGUGAAACUGGGACUCACCAGAUACGGAUGAAGGGUGCUCCUCUGGGGGAAAUAAUGAAGCCACUUCUCCUGAAGUGACGGGUUGGCUUUUUAAAUCCUGAAAAUACAACGUGACACAACACCCCUUCAGAGGACACUCAGGAGAAAUGUCAGACGACAGAGGAGCUCCGCUGACAUCAGGGCACAGGCUGUCUUUCAUCAGGACGACAUUUGUGUCACAGGAGAUCUGGAGGACACGUUCGCGCAGGAUGUCGGGACUCUUAAGGAGCCAAAUUGUGCCGACAGUCGGCGCAGUUCAUGUGAUUAAGAGUCAGAGACGAUGGCGGCUCCAUUUCCUGUUGAAGGCAGUUUGAUUACAGACACUUUGAUAAACAAGUAGGUGACACCUCAAGCGGAAAAUUUCCCUUGUCAAUUUGAGUCUCUCAUCUCUGUCCCCUCCUCACACACACGCACACACAUACCUCCACACACACAUUGUCUAAUAAUGCCUUAACUGUGGCCCUGAUAGAAAGCAUUGGACUGUGACUGCCCCUGUAAUAACCUCAGACACCUUUACCUGCCUGCUGGAGCCCGGCUGUGAUCAAGUUCACAGAGAACCCAGUGAAACACAGCAAAAGUACAGUUCUUAUCUGAGAAUACAGUUAAAAAAUGCAGAUGUUAACAAAGCUUUUGAAAUGGAAACAGGAAACAUCUGCCUGCUGGUUGAGGCCAACACUUCUUAUUUCAAAUCAACUGAUAUGUGAAUGGCUGAUUAAAACACCAAGUUUUAAAGUUAUGAUCUGUUACUGCUCAUGCUGCAUGUGUUCAAUCCAAGCGGCAACCUCCAAUCUCAAAAUA